AGCAAGAGCAGCAUCUGCAGCAGGGAGACAGCGAUGACGCCAGUGAAGCAGAGGAACCUUCCAGGUCUUCGUCUUGGCCAAGAAGGGAAUUGGGAGCACAGUCUUCCACAGAGACAACAGCUACUCAUCCAAGCCGAGGGCCUCCAGCUGCCGACUCAGAGCGAGGUCUGAAAACAUCCCACCGUCACGACAGAGCCUAGAGGUGCACUAAUCUUCACCAUCAGCCCUGACAACGGCCAACAACGAGAGCUGCGCUGCUCUGGACGCUGGCGGAACCAACAGCCGCAGCGUGCUUAUUCUGCCUGUGAGGCUGUCACGCUCAGUGACAUUUGGGCCUCCGCUCCCCCUGCCUGACACAAGAGUGAAUGUCUGAUGUCCGAAUGACAUUUGUGCUGUGGCGUGCUACGUCACCCUCUGCCUACAUGCAGGUGCAUGGGUCUCCAUGCAACACUUCAGAACUUCACUCAAAACUCUGUUUACAGGUCAUGGGCUGGGUAUUAAGGGCAGUGAUUGGGCAAACAGUGAACUUGUCAAAAGAGUCCCGCCCCACAAUAGGGACCUGUUCAUCACUUGCAACUGGCCACCUGAUUGGUGAGGAUUUUGGGCUGAUGUUAAACGGUGAUAUCUACAUUUGAUUUGUUUUGCGUCACAAAGCUAGAUAAUGCAACAACAACAAUUAUAUAUGUGCAUCUGUAAUAUUAUAAUAAUAAUAGCCAGGCAUGUGUAAUAUGAUGAUAAUAUAUGCGCACGUGUAAUAUAAUAAUCAUAUCCCAGUUCAGUGUUUGUGUUACAACCGACCCCAGUUCAGUUGAUUGGAACUAUUAGUGCUGCCUUAAGCACUGGAGAGAGACCAGCAUGUCACAAUACUCAGAAAACUCUAUGCUCCACCACUGCUGGUUUUUCUUAUCCCGUUUUCCCUUCAGCAGCAGUUAAUUAACCUCAGGAGCCCUGAUGUCUUCAGCAGUGUCACUGAAGCAGCAUAUCUCUAUGCUGCGCAUGUGUGCGUACAUUUGCGCAUCCCUUCAAAAUAUUACCGGGUUGUGGUCUGUGCGACACUGGCUCGGUGUGCUGUUGGGUCAGGAUGGUUGAGGCGUGGGUGUGCAAUCAGCUCAGGUGGUGCUGUUCGAAAGGGCCGUGUCUGUGAGACAGUGGGAGUGGAAUCCCCAUAGAAACAGACAGCAGACACAGACGGCGCUUCCUGUAUUGGGCCGGCGGUGUUCAGGCCCCUGCCGGUCCCACAGCCCUACUCUUCUUCCUCUUUCUCCUCUUCCUCCCGAUCUGGUCAAUCUUGCUGCUGUCUCUGUUCUACAGUACCAGUACUGAUGCACAUGCACACAACACGCAUGAAUGCAGAUACUUAGCUGUGUCCAAAGAUAUAAAUUGUUCCUAUUUUAAGCAGAUUCCUCCCAACAACAGGAUCCCCAAGUCUACACAGUGGGGGUGGUUUAUCUGUUGCGGUAUCCAUGGCAACAUCCCUAGUGGGUUGUUUGCUGGAUGAUAGGAAUAGAGCCCCAUGGCCAGGAUGACCUUUUCACGCCCCUGGCUGUGCACCACUAGGGGGAAGCCCCACCCUCUUCUGCACCACACAGGUCAGGGAAGAAUGUUCCCUCAGUGUUAUGGCAGUAACAGUACUGACAUGAGUAGUAAGAGCAGGGGAGAUGGUGUUGUUGGUAGGGGAGAUGAUGGUGUGGUAUUACUGUUUGUAGGGAAGGUAAUGUAGCAGUAACCGCACUAGAGGUCAUUCUGUUAGAAAGGUUUUGAGACACUCGAGAGACGUGAUAACUACACACACACAGUCGUGUGCGCACACUCUCUCUUUCUCACAUACUGUAAAUACUCAUGGAUGCAUGCACACUUACUCUCACACAAGAACACACAAACAUGCAGGCACGCACACAUACAUACACACACUCUCACUUUUACAAACAUAUACUUAUAAAGACAUGCACACACUCACACACGUGCCCAUAUAUUCACUCACACGCAUACAUAUUCUACCACUCUCUCUCUCAGACACACACACACUUCAUUUAGACUCAAGUGGCAGCGCUUCAGAUGACAAACCUUCUCGCUCUUUGACUAAUUCUGUUGUACAUUCACUUUAUGUAAGACAACAUCUCAUUGUUCCUGUGCAGGGCCACAGUUCAACGCCAUGUUCAAUAAACCCUCAAUAAUGGCCAAAUUGAAUUUGAGGGCACUGAACUACAUACACUGCACAGGCUUGUCGUCUGAAUAUUAAAUAUGAGAAACAAACAUCCUCAAUGUUUCUGUUCUUACUGAAAUUUUGCUGGAUACACACACACACUCACACACACAAAAGAAUGAAGACACACAAAAACACACACAGGAAGUGAGUGGUGGCAGUUAGUGUAGCUUAAGUAAACUGGUGUUACUGAUUUAAUACCUGUUUUUUAAUGGCUGUAAUGGUACGAAUGUUUUCUUAUUGACAUAGUACUAAUAAAGCACAGGAAAGCUGGUAAGCUGCACAGUAUCAGUGGAACAUGCUAGUAUCUUUCAUGAGGAGUGAUGAUAUUUAAUAUGUGCGAUAAUUGUUCAAAUCCAUCCACCUGCCUGUCCCACACACACACCACCACUCCUCUACUGGCUCACUGGUCUUAUGACCGCCCUCCAGUUUUCAUUUUCCCUCCUCCUCUCCUCCAUCUGUCUCCAUAUAAUUUUUUCUUUCUUUCUUCCUUGUCUUUAUUGCCUCCUUUUCUCCUCCUCCAUCUCUCCUCCUACCAUCAUCCCCUCUUUGACUCUCCCUCAUCUUUUUCUGUCCUCUACUUUUAGGUCUGUGGCCUGUCUGGUGCAAGGAGGUUACAGAUUUAUACUGAGGAAGUGGGCACAGCUACUG